rnacentral:rRNA from 1 species
CUUUAUUGGAGAGUUUGAUCCUGGCUCAGGACGAACGCUGGCGGCAUGCCUAAUACAUGCAAGUCGAGCGGACUUGAAGAGAAGCUUGCUUCUCUGAUGGUUAGCGGCGGACGGGUGAGUAACACGUAGGCAACCUGCCCUCAAGUUUGGGACAACU